GGAUAACUUACCCUUUAGGACUGGGAUAACUCUGGGAAACUGGGGAUAAUACUGGAUAUUAGGCUAUGCCUGGAAUGGUUUGCCUUUGAAAUGUUUUUUUCGCCUAAGGAUAGAUCUGCGGCUGAUUAGGUCGUUGGUGGGGUAAUGGCCCACCAAGCCGAUGAUCGGUACGGGUUGUGAGAGCAAGAGCCCGGAGAUGGAACCUGAGACAAGGUUCCAGACCCUACGGGGUGCAGCAGGCGCGAAACCUCCGCAAUGUACGGAAGUGCGACGGGGGGAUCCCAAGUGUUAUGCUUUUUUGUAUAACUUUUCAUUAGUGUAAAAAGCUUUUAGAAUAAGAGCUGGGCAAGACCGGUGCCAGCCGCCGCGGUAACACCGGCAGCUCGAGUGGUAGCUGUUUUUAUUGGGCCUAAAGCGUUCGUAGCCGGUUUGAUAAGUCUUUGGUGAAAGCUUGUAGCUUAACUAUAAGAAUUGCUGGAGAUACUAUUAGACUUGAAGUCGGGAGAGGUUAGAGGUACUACCGGGGUAGGGGUGAAAUCCUAUAAUCCUGGGAGGACCACCUGUGGCGAAGGCGUCUAACUGGAACGAUCUUGACGGUGAGUAACGAAAGCCAGGGGCGCGAACCGGAUUAGAUACCCGGGUAGUCCUGGCCGUAAACGAUGUGGACUUGGUGUUGGAAUGGCUUCGAGUUGUUCCGGUGCCGAAGGGAAGCUGUUAAGUCCACCGCCUGGGAAGUACGGUCGCAAGACUGAAACUUA
rnacentral:rRNA from 1 species